rnacentral:lncRNA from 13 species
CCUCCGCCUCCCAGAUUCAAGUGAUUUCCCCUGCCUCAGCCUCCCAAGUAGCUGGAACUAUAGGUGUGCACCACCAUGCCCAGCUGGACAGUGCUGGACCCAUCAGAGUUUCAAUACUGGCAAGAGAAAGGCCAGUCCUAUGGGGAGCCCUCUUGGAAAAGAUGAAGCACUGGACAUUACAAACUAACUACUUUCAGCCCCUGGAUGAAUCUAGAAGGUAGGAUAUCUCUUCUUGAUUAUACGGUGCUGCACUGGGGCAGGGUAUCUGAUAGGUGGACUGUUUUGAAUCUCCUUCGGCUUAAGUGAGUGGUUUUACAUUUGACCAAGUUGCAGGAACCUUUUAAUUAAUUUCCUCUUUCUCACAAAGGGAACUAUUCCAUAUAUUGUUGGUGAAUUCGGGUUUUUUGUGGAGUGGAGGGUCCAGAGCUUCCAACUCCAUCAUCUUGUUCACAUGUCUUCCCAAAAGAUGAUGUCUCAGUGUUCAAAUAAGUAUUAAGUCAUAACUUCUGUCAUAUCACUAAACUCAGUGUAAUUGAGGUUUGUGUACAAAAUGUGUGGAGUUGAGCCUUUUUUAAAGUUUUAAAAUUUGAAAUAAU